UACGAGAGGCCCAAACGUUAUUCGGAAUUACUGGGCUUAAAGAGUUCGUAGGCGGCGCAGAAAGUAGGGUGUGAAAGCCCUCGGCUCAACCGAGGAGUUGCGCUCUAAACUGCUGUGCUUGAGGGACCUAGAGGUGAGCAGAACUGAUGGUGGAGCGGUGAAAUGCGUUGAUAUCAUCAGGGAUACCGGAGGCGAAGGCGGCUCACUGGGGGUCUUCUGACGCUGAGGAACGAAAGCCAGGGGAGCGAACGGG
rnacentral:rRNA from 1 species